CCUACGGGAGGCAGCAGUGAGGAAUAUUGGUCAAUGGACGCAAGUCUGAACCAGCCAAGUAGCGUGCAGGAUGACGGCCCUCCGGGUUGUACACUGCUUUUAGUUGGGAAUAAAAGGGGGUCCGUGACCCCGGAAUUUUUUGUACCUCCGGAAAAAGAACCGGCUAAUUCCGUGCCAGCAGCCGCGUAAAUACGGAGUAUGCGCGCGUUAUCCGAAUUGAUUGGUUUUAAAGGUUGCGCAGCCGGAAGAUCAAGUCAGCGGUAAAAUUGAGGGGCUCAACCGCGUCGAGCCGUUGAAACUGGUUUUCUUGAGUGAGCGAGAAGUAUGCGGAAUGCGUGGUGUAGCGGUGAAAUGCAUAGAUAUCACGCAGAACUCCGAUGGCGAAGGCAGCAUACCGGCGCUUAACUGACGCUCAUGCACGAAAGUGUGGGUAUCGAACAGGAUUAGAUACCCCAGUAGUC
rnacentral:rRNA from 1 species